AAAAAGCGAUUGGUUAUUGGUAUAGUAGUAGCAUUAGCAUUAGUAGUGGCAAAAUAGGUCAGUAAUUUAGUUACGAAACACUUUAAUGUGGGAACAAAUUGCUAAUCGAUAAUCCUAUUUGAAAAGCUUAAGAUUUUAGUACUGGAGUCGCCAAUAAAAAGUAAACCAAUUCGAAGAGAAGAGAAGAGAAGAAAAGAAAUACAUCCAAUCAGCGGACAAUGGAAUUUGCUUAGCCAUUAUCAGCAAGUUCAAUGGCUCUUCAGCCAGCAGCUGCGCCAUAUAAGCAAGGUCUAUGCAUCACUGCAUCCACCAUCCCCCAUCCGCCAUCCCAAUCCCAGAACGAGACCCACCAUUUCCAAACAGGACAAUCAAAGCGCGCUGGACCCAUCCAACUGUAAUUGCCACAUAUUAUGACAAUCCAUGUAUGGAGGAAUCGAAACCCCAGGCUGGCACUGGCCAGCAUUGUAGAUACAUUGUACACUCGCAACCACCUGUGGGUCUGUCGACUCGGGUUGCCUUCAUCAGAACGGAAUCCAUCCGAACGGAAUGCAGCGCCAGUUUAUCCCUGGAUUACUAAGUAAACUCAUUAUAAACAAUAAUUUCCGAUAAUUGAAGGUCGUUAUUCGAUAUGUCGAUCAGAUCGCUAUGAUCGUUCAGUCAAAAUAAACAAUGGUCUCAAUUGAUGAUGGUGAACUUUA